GCUUCUGAAGGAUAAUAGCUAUCCGCUGGUCUUAGGAACCAGAAACUCUUGGUGCAACUCCAAGCAGAAACU
rnacentral:tRNA from 1 species